rnacentral:rRNA from 1 species
UACAGAGGUCUCAAGCGUUGUUCGGAUUCAUUGGGCGUAAAGGGUGCGUAGGCGGCGCGGUAAGUCGGGUGUGAAAUCUCGGAGCUUAACUCCGAAACUGCAUUCGAUACUGCCGUGCUUGAGGACUGGAGAGGAGACUGGAAUUUACGGUGUAGCGGUGAAAUGCGUAGAUAUCGUAAGGAAGACCAGUGGCGAAGGCGGGUCUCUGGACAGUUCCUGACACUGAGGCACGAAGGUCAGGGGAGCAAACGGG